AUUGAACGCUGGCGGCAUGCCUUACACAUGCAAGUCGAACGAAGGUUGUAGCAAUACAUCCUUAGUGGCGAACGGGUGAGUAACGCGUUGGUGACCUGCCCCGAAGUGCGGGAUAACAGUCCGAAAGGAUUGCUAAUACCGCAUGGUUUCAUUUGGAUUAGAUGCCAGAUGAGCAAAGGCGAAAGUCGCUUCGGGAGGGGCUUGCGUCCCAUCAGCUAGUUGGUAGGGUAAUGGCCUACCAAGGCAAUGACGGGUAGGGGACCUGAGAGGGUGGCCCCCCACAAUGGAACUGAAACACGGUCCAUACACCUACGGGUGGCAGCAGUAGGGAAUAUUGGUUAAUGUGCGAAAGCGCGAACCAGCAACGCCGCGUGCACGAUGAAGGCCUUCGGGUUGUAAAGUGCUUUUUGAGGGGAUGAGGAAGGACAGUACCCUCAGAAUAAGUCUCGGCCAACUACGUGCCAGCAGCCGCGGUAAUCUUAGUCUACG
rnacentral:rRNA from 1 species